GGAGUUGUAGCUCAGUGGUAGAGCGCUUGCCUAGCAUGUGUGAGGCCCUGGGUUCGAUCCUCAACACCA
rnacentral:tRNA from 1 species